CAUUUUUCGAUUUUCCCCGACUUUCUCCGACGAUGCGAUGGCGAUAGCGAUGGUGAUUCCGGUGACUUAUGCUCCGACGAUUGACACGAUCAUUUGAGGCAGUCUCCUUUGUCCAGAUUUUCUUCUUCAACCUCUUUCUCUUGCUUACCCACCAAAUUCAUCAUCUUUGAAACUGCUUCAUCCCUUUCGCUUUGGUGAUUCUGAAGACUCCGCUUUAUACCCAUUUUGAUCUGUAAGUUUCGAUUUUCGAUCUCCUUUGUUAGUUUCCUGUCAUAUUUAGUUAGAAAUUGUUCCGAGCAUUGAAUUUUUGCGUACAUGAAUCUCGUUUUUAAUCUGUGUUUGUGUGAUCAAUUUGUGAAAUUUUGAAUUGGGUUUGUUUGCUCGAUGGUGUUUUAUUCAUUGGCUAAUUCCCCAACUGAUAACUUUCAAUUUCUGAGAUGGUGGUAGUUAUAAAACUAAGGCUAAAACACUAAUCUUUGCUCUUAAGUAGUGUUGGUUUGGAUUGAUUUUUGUUAGAAACAAUGAUUGGAGCAUAAGUUUUGUUACAUGUAGUUAUGGCACAUCGAACAAGGAGAUAUUAUCUUAUAGAAGAAUGCUUCCAAGUUAGUUGCUUUUGUGCUAUAUCUUGAGGACUUAAGGCUUAUGGUUAGUGUUCAUACUUUGUUUUCUUGUUUGGUCUAUAAUAGACACUACUGGUUGAAUUAGAAUCUGGAACCGACAUUAGUGUUUUUGUUGGCCAAUAUUUUGUUACUGCGAUGAAAUGAAAAAAUCACGAGCUGAUGAUGGCUAUGAUGAAGCUUAUUGGGUCUGAUGAUUUGGGUAUUAAUAAUAAACUCCUUAGAUUUAGUCAAACUAUGAUCCUACAGGACCUCCUCAUCUCUUAGCAACAAUGUAAUCUAUUACUAGGGAAGAACAAAAACAAUAAUCUAUUUUAUGGUGAUUGAUGCUUGAUUGGAACAAUUAGGCAAUGAUGCUUUCAGAUUUAGAAAGUCUUGAUUUUGGAUUUAGUCUUGGUGGACGUAAUAUGGUCGGCGUUAGGAGCAGUGGAGACUUUGAAUUUCAUGUGAUUAAAUUGUGAUUAUGCAACAUUUCCCUAUGCUCUUAAGACUGUGAUUAAACAAAACUUUACUAUAGUAGCGAAAAGCAACGGUCAGUUUCAUACAUGAUAGUUGAUGAUAACUGUGUGUGUGAAUGCAUGUAUAUUAAUAGCAUUCCGGUGAAUCAUAACUUCAUUCUACCACCAUUCAAGAUUUAGCAAAUACAGACACUAACUACGAAAUGAGAUUCAUUGGAUAUAACCAAAUUCCAAGCACUCCUAGUCCUCUUGGCUUUGGGACACUUUUAAGCUCUGUCAAUCUUUAUUUCUGUUUUGAACUGAACGUUUGUUGUCAUUGGCUGCAAAAGCUGUCAUUUGGCUAAUGAUCGAAUUGUGGAAACAAAGGAUAAUUAUAGAAUGGUUCAAAGAAGUUGGUUUCUUCUUGGUUUAAAUCUUGUUUCUUCAAUGUUCAAAUACUUUUGAUGUCUUUUAUUAAUUUUUAUGAAACAAUUUUUUUUUUCCUAAGAACCUAAUUAGAGAGACUAACCAUUGGACUAAGAAAACUUAAAAUAAAAAACACAAGUUCUCAUCUAACAAAAUUUCAAAUAAUUUAUACUAAAACAAUUGGUGAGAGCCCAUGGGGGACUCUCACCGUUGGAGAUGCUCUAAAGUUUCUUCUACGUUUGAAAUAAUACAUUCUGAUUUGUGGACUUCUCCUAUUCCUAGUCUAUCCGGAAUUCGUUACUAUGUUUUGUUUCUCGAUCAAUUCUCUCAUUUUCUAUGGAUUUAUCCUCUUCGCAAUAAGAGUGAUGUGUUCUCAAAAUUUCUGCAAUUUCAUACCUAUGUCAAAACACAAUUCGAGAAACACAUUAAAUCUCUACAGUGUGAUAAUGGUGGUGAGUAUAAAAACUCACAGUUUCAUGAUUUCUUUGCUAAACACGGGAUACAGUUUCGUUUUUCGUGUCCAUACACCUCUCAACAAAAUGGCAGAUUGGAACGCAUGAUACGAACCCAUCAACAAUGCUUUUUGCACUAUGCUGCUUCAAGCUCAUCUUCCCAAUACGUUUUGGGUAGAAGCUCUAAGGGCAUCUCCAAUAGUAAUCUCUAUAUUUUCCUCUAUUUAUAGAGAUGACUCUAUUUUAAAGACAUUGUGCUCCAAUGGUCACCUUUAAAAUAGAGUUUCCUCUGAAAUAGAGGAAAAAAUAGAGAUAUAUACUUUUUGUCUCUAUAAAUAGAGAUCUCUACAAUUCAUCUCUAUUUUUUCCUUUAUUUUUGAGGAAACUCUAUUUUAGAGGUGACCACUGGAGCACAAUGCGUCUAAAAUAGAGUUCCCUCUAAAAUAGAGAAAAAUAUAGAGGUGAUCAUUGGAGAUGGUCUAAAUAAUGCAGUUCACAUUCUCAAUCUCCUUCCAUCCACUUCUAUCGAUAACAAAAUUCAUUUCUCAGUGUUAUUCAACAAAACACCAUCUUACUCUCAUCUUAGAGUUUUUGGUUCUCUUUGUUAUCCUCACACAAAUAAUCAAAACAAACUUGAUCCAAGGUCAUCACCAUCAGCUUUCCUAAGUUAUCCUCUACUUGACUCAGGGUAUAGAUGUUUUGAUUUAAAAACACGGAAAAUUGUGAUAUCUCGUCAUGUCACAUUUUAAGAGGAUAUCUUCCCUUACCAAAUCACCAAUGCUAAAAUCGACUCUGCUUAUGACUUUCUUGAAGCGGAUACAGAGCCUUCUCAAAUUCAAAAGCAGCUUUUGCUUACACCUUCUCUUCCAGCGACAAAUGAAACAGAUCUAGUUUUGACUGCUCUUGCUCCUCAUGUAGCGACUCAACCACCACCACAGCGUAUGGUGACUAGAUCGCAGCAGGGCAUUCGUAAACCAAAGAAAAUUCUCUCACUAAAUGCUCAAACACUUUCCCAAAUUCCAAAGGGUUAUAAGCAAGCUCUAAUGGAUCCGAAUUGGAAUCCUUCAAUGACAGAAGAGUAUGAUGCUUUGAUUAAGACUUACACUUGGAGUUUAGUGCCUAAACCUGCAGGUACAAACAUCAUCAAUUCGAUUUGGUUGUACAAGCACAAGUUUAAUGCUGACGGCUCACUCUCUAGAUAGAAAUUCAGACUUGUCUCUAAUGUAUUGAACUUUGCGGUUGAACGACAUUGCCUGGUGCAUCAGUUGGAUGUACAAAACGCCUUUUUGCAUGGAGAGCUUGAAGAAACAGUUACAUGUAUCCACCAGCAGGGUUUGUUGACAAUAGGAAUCCGGGUUAUGUAUGCAAGCUAAAUAAGGCGUUGUAUGGCCUGAAACAAGCACCACGGGCUUGGAAUGCUCGGUUUGUAGCUUAUGUUAAAAGAUGGGUUUUGUGCAGAGUAAAUGUGAUGCUUCUCUAUUUGUGUACAAACACGGGCAAGACAAGGCCUACUUGUUGCUCUAUGUCGAUGACAUAAUGCUUACAACAUCCUCAUCCAGAUUCCUUGACUCCAUAGUCGACAAACUCAAAACGGAAUUCCCAAUGUUAGACACAGGUAAACUCAGCUUCUUUCUAGGCAUCUCAGUUAUGCUCGAUAGUAACGGCAUGUUCUUAUGCCAAGAAAACUAUGCAAAGGAUAUUAUUAAGAGGGCAGAGAUGCAAAACUGCAAACCCAGCCUCACACUGGUUGAUCUAGCUUCAAAGCUAGAAGAGAAUGUUGGACCAAAGAUACAAAACCCGACUCUGUAUAGAAGCUCGGCAGGAGCACUGCAAUAUUUAACUAUUACAAGACCGAAUAUAUCUUAUGAUGUCUAACAAGUCUGCUUGUUCAUGCAUGACCCAAGGGAAAUACACCUUCAUGCACUCUGACGUAUCUUCCGCUAUAUCAAGGGGUCUCCUUCUUAAGGUCUUAGUAUUACUAAGUCUCCAUCAACGAAAUUGGUCGCUUAUUCGGAUGCGGACUGGGCUGGGUGUCCAAACACGAGGCGUUCAACUUCAGGGUACUAUGAUUUCCUUGGUGAUACUCUAAUCUCUUGGUCGUCUAAGCGACAAGGCUCGGUUUCAAGAUCAAGUGCAGAAGCAGAAUAAAAGGCAGAGGCAAACGCGGUGGCAGAGACUUGUUGGAUACGGAACUUAUUGUUCGAGUUACAUUAUCCGUUAUCGCAGGCAAUGUUGGUGUUUUGUGACAAUGUGAGUGUCGUAUAUCUCUCUACCAAUCUUGUCAAGCAUCAGCGAACCAUGCAUGUUGAAAUAGACAUACACUUUGUGCGGGAGAAGGUCGCAAAAGGCGAGGUUCGUGUCAUUCACAUUCUUGCAACACAUCAAUACGCAUACAUUUUCACUAAGGGCCACAUUACUUCCCUGUUCAAUCAAUUCAAGUCAAGCCUUGACGUCAUUACAAGACCGAUGCUAAGACUGCGGGAGGGUAUCAGGAGAUAGGAUAUUCUUCUCAAUAUUCUUCUCAAUAUGUUUGUUAUAAGUUUAGUUACGACUUUGUUAAUAUCCUCAUGUACCUAGAAUGUAGGAAAGAUCUGUACUCUUGUAACUAAAUCGUGUAUAUAUUCACUCUAAUGCAAAGCUAUCUUCUCAAGGAGACUUACACAAUCUUACAGAAUCAGACAUCAAAAAUGAUGGUGGAUUUUUGAUAGAUGCUCCUUCUUUGCAGCUCUUGGAGAUUCAAGAAUAUCCAGAUGGGUUUUGUGGCAUUGAGCAUAGUAUGCCUAAGAUUGAAACCGCAAAUGUUUAUGUUACUCAUACUGAGCAGAUUCUUUCUUCUCUUACUUCAAUCAAGUAACUCGGAUUACGUUUAACGACAUCAAAGGUAAUUAUUAUUAGUUCUACUCUAUAUACUUAUUUAAGAAGAUUUUAUCAUUGUUAUAUUGGAUAAUAAACUCCCUUGACUGAAUUAUUAUGAGAGACACACAUAUAUAGAGAUAUAUAGAGAUACAAAGAGUUCUAGAAAGUUAUAUCUAAGGGUAUGUCAUGGCGUUAUUCCAAUGACUAUUCUUGGCCGCUUGAAUAUGCGAUAUUAGAGCGGGAGAAAUAGUGAUAUCAGUGUGAAGACAAAAAUGUUUUUUUGAUUUGAAGAUACAUUACUACGAUUUUGUAUAGUAUUAGUGGAAGUAGAAUUAGAAGUAGAAGUAUGAGAAGGAGGUACCAUAGGGCUUCUUUGUUAUCACGAAACAGAUUUUUGAUUGCAGACCAAAGGUCAUGAAUGGAGCACUUCGGUUUGAGGACGAUCUCAAGUAUGGACUCGGUAAUUGUCCCAUAGAUCCACAUUUUGACAAGAUCAUUGUGCUCUUUCCAAGAUUUUUCAGUUUCCGGCGUGGAGGAGGAAGUGUUGUCGAUGUGCCAAUAUAUUAGGGGCUGGUUUGGCUCGGUUCUCUUUAGUUACUCUUGGUAUAAUCAUCUACGAAUAUACUCUAACAGAUGCAUAUAUUCUUUGUAACUAGAAUUAGAUAGAUCUUCCUAGAUUCACGCUUUCGGUUGUACAUUGACUCUAUAUAUGUUGUAUGCUGUUCAUUGUGAUCAAUAACACGAAUCCAUUUGAUCUCUGAAAUCCUUUACAAGAACACCAAAACUGCUACUAUGCAUUUCAAAAAGCUCUCUCCAUGUAUCGUAGUUGAGUUUGGCCUUGUCAAGAGUGAUGAGAAUGUAAGAUUUGAUUUGGCUAAUAGAGAACGGUUUGUCAGAGGUGGUAGAUAGAUUGGUACGGGCCAUCGUUGAGAAUAGAGAGUAAUUAAAAAACAAAAAAAUAUAAAAAGAAAAACAAAAGGUUUAGAUGAGGAAG